AUUGAACGCUGGCGGCAUGCCUUACACAUGCAAGUCGAACGGCAGCAUAGGAGCUUGCUCCUGCUGACGAGUGGCGAACGGGUGAGCAAUGCAUCGGAACGUGCCCAGUAGUGGGGGAUAGCCCGGCGAAAGCCGGAUUAAUACCGCAUACGACCUGAGGGUGAAAGGGGGGGAUCGCAAGACCUCUCGCUAUUGGAGCGGCCGAUGUCAGAUUAGCUAGUUGGUGGGGUAAAGGCCUACCAAGGCAACGAUCUGUAGUUGGUCUGAGAGGACGACCAGCCACACUGGGACUGAGACACGACCCAGACUCCUACGGGAGGCAGCAGUGGGGAAUUUUGGACAAUGGGCGCAAGCCUGAUCCAGCAAUGCCGCGUGCAGGAAGAAGGCCUUCGGGUUGUAAACUGCUUUUGUCAGGGAAGAAAUCUUCUGGGUUAAUACCUCGGGAGGAUGACGGUACCUGAAGAAUAAGCACCGGCUAACUACGUGCCAGCCGCCGCCGUAACAC
rnacentral:rRNA from 1 species